GCAACUACUUAAGAGUCUGUUACAAGGUGU
rnacentral:piRNA from 1 species